rnacentral:tRNA from 1 species
GCGCCAGUAGCUCAGCUGGAUAGAGCAACGGCCUUCUAAGCCGUGGGCCGAGGGUUCGAGUCCUUCCUGGCGCGCCA